GAUGAACGCUGGCGGCGUGCCUAAUACAUGCAAGUCGAGCGAACAGAUGAGAAGCUUGCUUCUCUGAUGUUAGCGGCGGACGGGUGAGUAACACGUGGUAACCUACCUAUAAGACUGGGAUAACUCCGGGAAACCGGGGCUAAUACCGGAUAAUAUUUUGAACCGCAUGGUUCGAUAGUGAAAGACGGUUUCGGCUGGCACUUAGGGAUGGGCCCGCGGCGCAUUAGCUAGUUGGGGAGGUAACGGCUCACCAAGGCGACGAUGCGUAGCCGACCUGAGAGGGUGAUCGGCCACACUGGGACUGAGACACGGCCCAGACUCCUACGGGAGGCAGCAGUAGGGAAUCUUCCGCAAUGGACGAAAGUCUGACGGAGCAACGCCGCGUGAGUGAAGAAGGUUUUCGGAUCGUAAAACUCUGUUGUUAGGGAAGAACAAGUACCAUAGUAACUGAUGGUACCUUGACGGUACCUAACCAGAAAGCCACGGCUAACUACGUGCCAGCAGCCGCCGUAA
rnacentral:rRNA from 1 species